rnacentral:misc_RNA from 1 species
UAAUAAGUGUUUUAUGGCACUUUUUAAAUCCAUAUCCACCUUGUGUGCAAUGUCAGUCGAUCUUCUUCAUGGAGAUCGACCAAGCAUCAACCUUUAUCUUUUAACUCUUUGUCUGAAAAAUAUCAUGAAUAAACAAUUCAAAAUA